rnacentral:rRNA from 1 species
UACGAAGGGGGCUAGCGUUGCUCGGAAUCACUGGGCGUAAAGCGCACGUAGGCGGCUUUCUAAGUCAGGGGGUGAAAUCCUGGAGCUCAACUCCAGAACUGCCUUUGAUACUGGAGAGCUUGAGUCCGGGAGAGGUGAGUGGAACUCCGAGUGUAGAGGUGAAAUUCGUAGAUAUUCGGAAGAACACCAGUGGCGAAGGCGGCUCACUGGCCCGGUACUGACGCUGAGGUGCGAAAGCGUGGGGAGCAAACAGGG